GCCCUAUGUUUCACCCGAAAUGUAUCCUGUUUAACGCUCAAGGAAUGUUUGGGACGCGCAUCUGUCUCCACCGGGCUGCGUAAUUGCUGCCAGGUAUAUUGCGAAUACAGGUAACGGUAUGUGUGGAUUCUAAAGAGCCCCUCCCCGCCAGCCCUCAGACUGGACUUUGUUACCUCCAUGCCACUUUCACACCUGCUUUUUGUUUCUUUGAUUAAAAAAACAAAGAAGGAUUGUUCAAGUUUAUCGAUGCACUGAGGAAAUGAGGUGUAUUGAUUAGGAGAAAAUACCUGUUCGCUAACAGCUGAGUCAGGGUGUCCCUGGGGGCCUCCUUUAUGGAUUUCAUGCUGUUCCCUCAGAGAAGACUUUUGUUGGUAAAAGAGGUCUGGGCACCAACAUAUCAAUAGCAAAUCAACACAUUUUUAAAAAUCUAACACAUCUUUCUAAACAUCAGCAAGUCAGACUUGCCGUACCUUAGUCAUAGAGCGUCACUAAUUGUAUAAAACAAAUAUCGUCUCUUUUCUGGAUAGUUCCUACAAAUACUUUUCUUUAGUACAGAGAUACAUGUAUUCCCAAAGAGUGGCAAGAGGACAGAAACCUGACCCAGUGAGUACAGUCGGGAAGACUGUGGAAGGACUCGACUAGCACGCACCGUGCCCUUGGCCCAGGGUUCAAGGUGAUACGAGUUGAAGGCGACCCUGUUCUACAGAAUCCUUGCAAAUAUAAAAGUUAUAUUCACCUCUCAAUUUACACACUGCGUGUUAGGUUCCCGGGCCGUGACUGGAGAAGCAGGCCUCCAGGUGGCUGCUGUGUCUCCGUGGCACCGUGACUGGCCACCUGGAGCCCAGCACUGCUGUGCCCGUGAGGGACUGACCGUGACACGAAUCUAUACGUACGUUUGAAAACACGGAAGCACAGGCAACAUCUUGGGGCAUUUUCCAAGCUGAGUCCGAGGAGAGACUGCAUCAGGCAAUUUGCUCUACUUACGUUGUGCUGAGGCGAAUAAUGAAAUGGGUCACAGGUGAAAGCAGGUAUGAAGAAAGGGCGAGUGUUUUCGGUGCCGAUCCGGGGUUAACCGCGUGGCACCAACAACAGUCCACACACUGAACGUCCCAUUGCAGGGACUUCAGGAGUCCGCUGGACUAGUUCUUCACGCAACCCACGUUCUGUCAGACAGGGACAAUGUGUGCUGAAGAAAAGGGUUUUACCUGAAAAUCAUAUUAAAGUAUGGGUUCACAUGCUAAGUAAAAGACCAUAACUAUAUAGAUGGGGGUUUCAGGAGGAGACCCGAGGACCUCAGUUUCCUUUUUGUGGUUUUCUGCUGCGAUCGUGGGCCCAGCAGAGCUGUGAAGUAACGGACACGAGUCGGAGCCACAGCAGACAUUCAAAUAAACUAUGGGCAAGCAAGUACACAACUGAUGAAAAAAAAAAAAAAAAAAAAGAACCCAGAAGAACAACGAGAAAUGAGAGAUACUACUUCAAAGCAGGAAUUGCUCUAGACUUUUCCAGAAACGAAUCGUCAGCUUCCUCAACCUGCCAUGUCCUGGGGCCUGGCCAACGAGUUACACCCUUUCAGACAGGAAGAGGAGGCUGGGAAAUUAGGGGAAUCCUGGACUGAUGCUCAGGAGGCCGCCGGAGUCAUGAGGUCAUGUUUCUACAGAGCAUGAGGGGACUGGAGCAGGUGGGAAGGUAGCGGACGCCCUGGUGAGGCCAUUUGGGGGGCUGGGCAGGGCCACGGGCAGACGGAGACCGCCUGGUUGCUCUGACGGUGACGACCCUCUCCUUGCCUGUGACCUCUGCAGCCCCUCCCUGAGCCCAGGUACAGUGACCUGAGUUCACAUCCUUCUGCCUUCAUCCUCGUCAAAUACUCCGAUCUGCUCUGGGACAAAUGUGGCAUCUUUCCCUCUGAGGUAGAGAAGUCUCCCACCUGCCUAGGAGCUGGUCCGGGCCCCCAGCACCCUCCCCAAGGCGUCACGCUCUGUCCUGACAAAGAGGGGCCCCCGGAGCCCCUUGUUCCACAGGGAUGAGAGGGGAAUGUCUGAGUUGAGAGCCAGGAGACCCCCGUUCGUCACCCUCUAGACUCAGCUGUUGCGUUUUCUAAUCACAGUUACUCAGUGAUGUUGUUUGUCUUAUUUAUGGGGAACUUUUAGGCUAGGUCUGCUCAUAUUCACAGUGACAGCAAUUAUUAGAGGCUAAAAUUAUCCAAGCGGAGAUGCGCUGUCAUGACCCUUGUCAGCGUGAGUAUGGCGAGGGAUGCCCAGUCUUCUGGAGCCCCGAGGCUGCAUUCUUAGGAUCGCAGAACGUUCGUGUGGGAGAGCGUUCCAGGUACAACUCCAUCAAGACUCUCCUGUGUGAAGACGCGUGGGUGAGUCCAGGGAGUUGAGGUGGCCUGUUUGCAGCCACGUGUCUUUGGGCAGCAAGUCCUUCGUCCGAGGUCACCAGGGCUUCCUGCCCUGCCCAUGACACUUCCUUAACUCUCCAGAACUUGCAGAGAUUCUGGGGGUUAACUAAUGGGCUAAUCUCAAAGAUCAGUUCCCAGGAGAUAAGAAGAUCCAAGAGAAGACUUGUCGCUGCUUCCAGUGGGAAAGGUGACUCCUGGCCUCCACGAGUCUGCGCGGGUAGAUGCAGAUAUGGUCUGAUUCUACUUUGCCUUGUUUUUCCUUUCUCUUCCAAAUGACGAGACGUUUGUCUACCAUAACCAGCUGUCCGCGGUCCCGAAACUUCAAGCACCAGAUACGCACAUGAACGUGACACGGGCAUAGGACCCGUCCCCGGGCGGCUAAUGCUGCUGUGGGUGGCAUGAGGUGCCAGCCACAGCCAUGUACCCACCAACUCUGUGGCCAUGAUGAGGAUGAAGAUGUGUUUGAAUUUGUUCAUAGGGACUAAUGAAAUACUCAAAGUCUCUUUCAAUUAAACGUUUCAAGUGAGUGACUGAA